UGUGACUGCGUACCUUUUGUAUAAUGGGUCAGCGACUUAUAUUCUGUAGCAAGGUUAACCGAAUAGGGGAGCCGGAGGGAAACCGAGUCUUAACCGGGCGUUAAGUUGCAGGGUAUAGACCCGAAACCCGGUGAUCUAGCCAUGGGCAGGUUGAAGGUUGGGUAACACUAACUGGAGGACCGAACCGACUAAUGUUGAAAAAUUAGCGGAUGACCUGUGGCUGGGGGUGAAAGGCCAAUCAAACCGGGAGAUAGCUGGUUCUCCCCGAAAGCUAUUUAGGUAGCGCCUCGUGAAUUCAUCUCCGGGGGUAGAGCACUGUUUCGGCUAGGGGGCCAUCCCGGCUUACCAACCCGAUGCAAACUGCGAAUACCGGAGAAUGUUAUCACGGGAGACACACGGCGGGUGCUAACGUCCGUCGUGAAGAGGGAAACAACCCAGACCGCCAGCUAAGGUCCCAAAGUCAUGGUUAAGUGGGAAACGAUGUGGGAAGGCCCAGACAGCCAGGAUGUUGGCUUAGAAGCAGCCAUCAUUUAAAGAAAGCGUAAUAGCUCACUGGUCGAGUCGGCCUGCGCGGAAGAUGUAACGGGGCUAAACCAUGCACCGAAGCUGCGGCAGCGACGCUGAUGCGUUGUUGGGUAGGGGAGCG
rnacentral:rRNA from 1 species